CUCUUUCUUUCUCUCCCCCUCCGUCUCUUCCCUCCUUCUCUCCCCCUCCCGCUCCCUUCUCCCUCUCCCUCCAAGUCUGGCACUGAACGCGAACUGUUUUGCUUUGCUCCGGGAAGAGUGCAGACACACAACGUGAGAUCCCGAGCUUUUUGCGUGGUGCAUUUAAAAUGCUUCCUUAUUUAUAUUACCCUCAUUCCCUCACCUCCCCCACCCCCUCACCAGUCCUUCCAGAUUUCCCUAGAAAUCUAUGUAAAGCGUGCGGAGGGGAAAACAUUUGCACAAAAAGUGAAGGAGCUCGCCAAGGAAGGAGCCUCCCGAAGAGAGGUGGGCGGAUGGAGAGAGGGGGCUUUUGAACAUCAGCCAUUUGACCUUGGGGGCCAGAGUUCAAAUCCUCCGGAGGGCUGAAAAGGCUGAAAAGGUAUCUUUAUCCCUUCUCCCGCCCCUACAUCUUUCAUCCUGAGCUUUAUGUUUAAUGGGG
rnacentral:lncRNA from 1 species